rnacentral:rRNA from 1 species
GACGAACGCUGGCGGCGUGCUUAACACAUGCAAGUCGAACGGAAAGGCCCUGCUUUUGUGGGGUGCUCGAGUGGCGAACGGGUGAGUAACACGUGAGUAACCUGCCCUUGACUUUGGGAUAACUUCAGGAAACUGGGGCUAAUACCGGAUAGGAGCUCCUGCUGCAUGGUGGGGGUUGGAAAGUUUCGGCGGUUGGGGAUGGACUCGCGGCUUAUCAGCUUGUUGGUGGGGUAGUGGCUUACCAAGGCUUUGACGGGUAGCCGGCCUGAGAGGGUGACCGGCGACAUUGGGACUGAGAGACGGCCCAGACUCCUACGGGAGGCAGCAGUGGGGAAUAUUGCACAAUGGGGGGAAGCCUGAUGCAGCAACGCCGCGUGCGGGAUGACGGCCUUCGGGUUGUAAACCGCUUUCGCCUGUGACGAAGCGUGAGUGACGGUAAUGGGUAAAGAAGCACCGGCUAACUACGUG